UGCACGGUGGCGCUGUUGGUAGCACUGUUGCCUUGCAGCGAGAAGGUCCUGGGUUCGAUUCCCAGCCGGGGCUCUUUCUGCAU